GCCAUUGUGGCAUACUGGUAAGGCGCAGGGCUUGUAACCAAAAGGUUGCUGGUUCGAUUCCCCGCAUUGGUA